AGGGGGAGUAACAUCCGGAAACGGGUGCUAAUACCGCAUAGUUUCUUGAUCGCAUGAUUGAGAAAGGAAAGACGGCCUUUGUGCUGUCGCUUAUGGAUGGACCCGCGGCGUAGUUAGUUAGUUGGUGAGGUAAUGGCUCACCAAGACGAUGAUACGUAGCCGACCUGAGAGGGUGAUCGGCCACAUUGGGACUGAGACACGGCCCAAACUCCUACGGGAGGCAGCAGUAGGGAAUCUUCCGCAAUGGACGAAAGUCUGACGGAGCAACGCCGCGUGAGUGAAGAAAGGUUUUCGGAUCGUAAAACUCUGUUGUCAGAGAAGAACAAGUUGGAGAGUAACUGCUCCAGCCUUGACGGUAUCUGACCAGAAAGCCACGGCUAACUACGUGCCAGCCGCCGC
rnacentral:rRNA from 1 species